UACGAAGGGGGCUAGCGUUGCUCGGAAUCACUGGGCGUAAAGGGCGCGUAGGCGGCUCAUGAAGGCUGUGGUGAAAGUCCGGGGCUCAACCUCGGAUCGGCCGUGGCGACUCGUGGGCUGGAGCACUGUAGAGGCGGGUGGAAUUCCGGGUGUAGCGGUGGAAUGCGUAGAGAUCCGGAAGAACACCGGUGGCGAAGGCGGCCUGCUGGGCUAUGGCUGACACUGAGGCGCGACAGCGUGGGGAGCAAACAGG
rnacentral:rRNA from 1 species